rnacentral:rRNA from 1 species
AUGAAGGUGAACAUGGAGGCCCAACGCGUGUGGGACGCUAUCGAGGGAGGCGGGAGCUUCAGCCAGGACAGGGCGGCGCUUGCGGCAAUUCUGCGAGCCGUGCCGGAGGAGAUGCACUCCAUGCUUGCCGUGAAGGCGACGACAAAGGAGGCAUGGGAUGCCAUCAAGAUAAUGCGGGUCGGCGAUGCCCGCGUCCGUGACGCCAAGGCGCAGACUCUCCUCAAGGAGUUUGAUGCCGUCCGCAUGAGGAGCGGCGAGGCCCUCGAUGAGCUCGCCAUGCGCAUGAACGGGAUCGCCAACAAGCUGCGCACGCUCGGCGAGAACCUCGACGAGGUGAAGGUCGUGAAGAAGCUUCUCCGCAUCGUGCCGUCCAAGUAUACCCAGGUAGCUAUUGCCAUUGAGCAGCUUCUUGAUCUUAAAACCAUGUCCAUGGAAGAGCUUGUGGGAAGGCUCAAAACGGCGGAGGACCGGAGCGACUUGGACGAGGGCGCCAACAACUACGACCAGGGUGGUGGGAGUCGCCUGCUCCUCACGGAGGAGGAGUGGCUUGCUCGCUACCGCAGCGGCGCCGGCAAGAAGAAGAGAAACUUCGACAUCCGGAAGGUCCGCUGCUACACUUGCCAAGAGUACGGGCAUUACUCCAGGGACUGUACUAAGCCAAAGAAGGAGCGGGCGCUUCUCGCCGACGCGACCGCCGACGACCAGCCGGGGCUGUACUGA